rnacentral:rRNA from 1 species
UACUAGAGUAGCACUCGCAUAUCAAUAAGCGGAGGAAAAGAAACUAACAAGGAUUCCCCUAGUAACGGCGAGUGAAGCGGGAAGAGCUCAAAUUUGAAAUCUUAAAGGGUUUCCCUUUACGAAUUGUAGUUUAAAGAAGUGUUUUCUGUUGAGGUUUUGGUAAAAGUUCUUUGGAAUAGGACAUCAUAGGGGGUGAGAAUCCCGUAUUUGACCUUUACUUUCAACUUUGUGAUACACUUUCAAAGAGUCGGAUUGUUUGGGAAUGCAGUCCAAAAUGGGUGGUAAAUUUCAUCUAAAGCUAAAUAUUGGCGAGAGACCGAUAGCGAACAAGUACCGUGAGGGAAAGAUGAAAAGAACUUUGAAAAGAGAGUUAAACAGUACGUGAAAUUGUCAAAAGGGAAGCGUUUGACACCAGUGUUGUUUUUCUGAAAAUCAAUUAAAGAACUGUUUAUGCUAAGUUGUUUAGACUUUAUCAGCUAACUGUUUAGUUUUGAGCUUUUCUUUAAUGCACUUUUCAGUUAACAAGGUCAACAUCAAUUUCUUUUGCUGUAAAAAAGCUUGAGGAAGGUGGCUUGAGAUUCGUCUUAAGUGUUUAUAGCCUCUUGCCUAUGCAGUCGGAGAGAUUGAGGUCUGCAGCGUAGAUCCUUCGGGGCUAAAUGCAUUUGUGCUAAGUUAUAGCAUUUCAUAGACAACUUGUUGACUAUGAUUUGUCUUGUAGCAUUACUCGCUUAUGUUAUUUUACCUACGCUUAGGAUGUUGAUAUCGCGCUCUCACUG